GAGGGAUCAUUACCGAGUUUACAACUCCCAAACCCAAUGUGAACGUUACCAAACUGUUGCCUCGGCGGGAUCUUCUGCCCCGGGUGCGUCGCAGCCCCGGACCAAGGCGCCCGCCGGAGGAAUCAACCAAAACUCUUAUUGUAUACCCCCUCGCGGGUUUUUUUUAUAAUCUGAGCCUUCUCGGCGCCUCUCGUAGGCGUUUCGAAAAUGAAUCAAAACUUUCAACAACGGAUCUCUUGGUUCUGGCAUCGAUGAAGAACGCAGCGAAAUGCGAUAAGUAAUGUGAAUUGCAUAAUUCAGUGAAUCAUCGAAUCUUUGAACGCACAUUGCGCCCGCCAGUAUUCUGGCGGGCAUGCCUGUCCGAGCGUCAUUUCAACCCUCGAACCCCUCCGGGGGGUCGGCGUUGGGGAUCGGCCUUCCUUCACGGGGGCCGUCUCCGAAAUACAGUGGCGGUCUCGCCGCAGCCUCUCCUGCGCAGUAGUUUGCACACUCGCAUCGGGAGCGCGGCGCGUCCACAGCCCGUUAAACACCCAACUUUUCUGAAAUGUUGACCUCGGAUCAGGUA
rnacentral:rRNA from 1 species